UUAACACCCCACUUUGUAAAACGGUAUGUCGCCCAAUAUCCAACGGCGGUCUGGGUAUUAGAAAUGUGAGGACUUCAAUCGAGCGUUACUUGGCAAAUGGUUGUGGAGAUACAAUAAGGAACCAGAAGCCUUAUGGAGAGGGGUGAUUGGGUGCAAAUAUGGCGAUAUAUAGGGGGGAUGGUGCACUAAAGAAGUUAGAGGAGCUUAUGGAGU